rnacentral:tRNA from 1 species
UGCGGAAUGGAGCAGCCAGGAAGCUCGGUAGGUUCAUAUCCUACAGGUCAUAGGUUCAAAUCCUAUUUCCGCAA